rnacentral:rRNA from 1 species
UACGGGGUGAGCAAGCGUGGUUCGGAUUUACUGGGCGUAAAGGGCGCGUAGGCGGCCACCGCAAGUCGACUGUGAAAUCUCCGGGCUUAACCCGGAAAGGUCAGCCGAUACUGCGGGGCUAGAGUGCAGAAGGGGCAACUGGAAUUCUCGGUGUAGCGGUGAAAUGCGUAGAUAUCGGGAGGAACACCUGCGGCGAAGGCGGGUUGCUGGGCUGACACUGACGCUGAGGCGAGAAAGCUAGGGGAGCGAACGGGAUUAGAUAACCUCGUAGUCC